rnacentral:lncRNA from 10 species
CUCAAUGUUUGCCCAGCUCUUAUAAGGUAGCUAACCUUAUUAUCAUGUCCUUUUUACAGCUGAGCCUGUUGGGGCUGAGUCAUCUUUGUGAAUUGACUGCAGUCACAUAGAGUUGCAGAGGCCAGAUUUGUUGAAGAGGCUCCAACUCUAAGUUUAGCACUUUUUAUACCACAUCCCCCAGCCUCUGAAGCAGCAAUGAGAGAAGCAAGGAGUCUCCCCAAGGGAAGCGCUGCUUAUGCGUUGGCAUCAUUGACACAGGAGACAGGGCAUCCAUCCAUGCUGCUGGUCUGGAGAUCCUGUGAGAAACACCCUCUUAUUUACAAUGGGGCUGUGACACAUGAGAUCAACUCUCAGUGAAAUUCUAGCCCAAGGUCACACAGCUGGUGUGACGGAAAAGAAUCCACCCUCCAUUCUCAUUCUGGAAUAACAACGAGAUGUUCUUUCGCAGAGGGCUCAGACCAAAUCAAGACUACACGAUACAGCCACUACGUCCUUCUGCUGCUGGGAUCCCUUGGAAUAAAAUCAAGAAAAGACUAAAGAUGGGAAAAUAUGCGAUGGAGAGCAGAUCGGGGAAGGGCCCUCAGCACACUGCAGAGCACCCCACGUCCAUUUCCAGGAGGGGUGCCCAAGGACACGCCUUGGUGAGGAGGGAAGCAUGAACUCAGGCCUCACCCCACUCCAGCUCCAGCAGUCCAGGCUGGGUCUGGGCAGCCACCGUGGGCCUCUCCUGCCCUAUGCACCACCCUACUACCUAGCCUACGUAUGGUCAGAAGCUGGAUUCUCAAAUACAGUUUGUCCAUUUCAUUUCUUUUUUUUAAGUUGUGGUGAAGUGUACAGAACAUAAAAUUUACCAUCAUCACCAUUUUUUAAGUGUGCCAUUCAGUCAUGUUCAGUAUAUUCACGUUGUUUUGCAAGCGAUCUCUGGAACUUUUUCAUCUCAAAAAACUGAAAGUGUACCCUUUAAAUGACACCCCUCAUCGAUUCUCCUUCCUUCAUCAUUUCCCUAUUGCUGUCCUUCUUGGAGUCUUAGGAAAGUCCCACCUGUCUCAGCCGUGGUAAGUGGACCACAGGGAAAACAUUGUCCAAACAUGGCACCAGAGUGUUGGAGAGGCAGCCUAGAGCCGUGGCAGCACAGAAAACUGAAGUAAGAGAUCCCCACAGAGGAUGGGCUCAGGGCCAGGCUCCAGCUUGGAGGUGCAGGGUUUCCCUUUAAUCAGGGAGGUGGGAUUCCUGAUGGCCUAUUCUAUAAGUCCACCCCAGAGCCCCCAGCCCAUCCUCACAGCAUCACAGCCCCAC